CCAAAAACAAAUUCUAUAUUUUCAAUUCCCUCUCUUUCUCUAUCUCAUCCCGCCUAUGGCAUCUCUCUCUACAUACUAGGAGUAAUCAAUUUUCUAUUGUUGUUGUCGCUUAAUCUAUCCAGCCGAAAGAGACAAUCUCGUCAAUUUAAAGAAACCAAGGAUUAACCUUUCAAUAUUCCAUGAAUUUGAAGAUAGGGGAUUUGAACAAACUCCAGUUUGAAGAGUUGGGUCUUCAGAGGGAUGAUUGGUUGAUAAGGGUUAGAAUUUGUAGAAUGUGGGAUUCUCUUAAUCCCAAGAAAAAUGGAGAGUUAAUUGGCUUGGAUAUGAUCUUUAUUGACGAAAAGGAAAAUUUGAUGCAUGCUACAAUCAACAAGAAACUAUAUAACAAGUUUAAGGAUAAGUUGACUAAAGGUUCUUUGUCUGUUAUCAAGAACUUCAAAGUUGUUGAAAGUAGUGGUGGAUAUAGGCCUGUUGAAAGUAAUUUUAAAAUUAAUUUCUUACUUAAAACUGCCGUCAAGAGUCUAGAAGAAGAUAUUGUUAAUAUUCCUAUAAAUGGAUUUCAGUUUAUCACACCAGAUAUGAUCGACUCAAGGGUGAACAAUAACACUGUGUUAUCAGGUAUAUUCAUUAUAAUUUUUGCUAUCUUUUUUUUUAAAUAUCCAUGUGAUUCUUAAAUAACUACUUUAUGCUCUUCAUUUGGACAUGUGGUGGGCUGUUUGUGCGGAGUUGGAGACAUGGAGACUGUUGGCUCGAGGUGGAAAAAAAGGGACAUUCAAAUUGUUACUGAUUAGUGAAUCGUUUUUCAUUUUAUGUUUGUUUAAUUUGUAAAUCCUCCAGAACUUUCAUUUCUUAUUAUGUUUCAAUGCCUCUUCCUCAAUCCAUAUUUCUGUUGUAGUUCUGUCAAAGCAAAAAUUACUUUAUGGGAAGAAUUUGGUGAGAAAUUCGAUCCUUAUUUGUACAAAAAUGAUUCUGACCCAUAUAUCGUGAUAGUAACCGCUACAACAGUUAAAGAAUUCCGUGGUAAUUGUUUUAGAUUUAAUGAUUAAAGUUAUAUACUCUGUUACUUUGAAUAUUAGAAUAAAACUAUUCAUUAUUGCAUUCAUUAUCAAUAGGUGAGGUUAGCUUCGCCACCAGCUACGCAAGCAAAAUAUAUGUAAAUCUCAAUGUAGACUUCAUAACUUCUUUGAUCCAAAAGUUUGCAACAGUCUCUGUUGGAGUACAAACUAUUGAACGUUCUAAUGUUAAUAGCAUUCCGAUUAAGGAAGAUAUGUUUUUUAACAGGAUGAACAUCAAGGAGUUGUUGGAUUGCGACUGGAGUCCUGAAUUAGAGGAAUACAUUGUUACCAUGAGGGGAGAGAUUACAAAUAGACAACCAUUUUGGUUGGUACCAUAUUUCAUGCAAUGCGUGCUCAAAGAAGAUCGAAGCUGAAAAUGGUGUCUAUAAUUGCCAUAUUUGCAACAAAGAAUGCAAGUUUCCUUUGUUGAAGUAAGAAACCAAUCUCUAAUGUGAAUUUGAUUCAUGUUAUUAUUUAAACUAACUUAUUAUGUAAAUCAAGGUAUAAGAUACACCUAAAAGUCAAAGACAAAACUGCGGAGAGCAGUGUUGUCCUAUUUAAUCCUGUUGCAGAGAAGCUACUUGAUACAUCAGCCCACAAGUUGUUAAACAGGCUGUCAUUAGAUAACAAUGAUGUACCUAUCCAAAUCCAAAGCCUUUGCAAAAAAGAAUUUAUUUUCAAGCUAAAAUUAAACAAUUAUAAUUUGCAAGAGGGGCUUGAAAAUUUUACCAUAUCAAAGGUUUUCGUUCCAGUUGAGAAUUUGGAAAUACAAUACCAAUCGAGGAAAGAUAAGAAGGGAAAAAGCUUAUUGGAGGAUGAAAAUGAACCAAAGGAGCAGAAAAUAAAAAGAUUAAUUAAAAAAAGGCUGUUGAUGUCUCAUUCGAUAACUUGGAAGACUCUGAUGAAGAUCAACAUGUCAAUGAUGGUGUUAAGAAUAGAGAGUGAAGAAACAUAAUCAUAGACGACGAUGAAUUUAGUGAUGAAAACACCAACAAAUGCAAAUAGUAGAGUCUUUAGUGUUGGUUAUAGCAUAUUGUGUGUGCUUAAAUAAAACUAUUUGGUCCUCUUUUUAGCCUUUUGUUUGGUUGUUUGAAAGACUGCGAAGAACCCUGUCAAAGUUGUUGGUCAUUCACAUCACUUUAGAAUAUGGAAAGUGCUGGCUUCUUCACUGAAAAACUUGAGCUCGGUUUGUCAACUAUGUCCUGAAGUUUGUUUUGAUUUGAUUUCUACCUCUUUGUUAUGGCA